GAUGAACGCUGGCGGCGUGCCUAAUACAUGCAAGUCGAGCGAACAGACGAGGAGCUUGCUCCUCUGACGUUAGCGGCGGACGGGUGAGUAACACGUGGAUAACCUACCUAUAAGACUUGGAUAACUUCGGGAAACCGGAUCUAAUACCGGAUAAUAUAUUGAACCGCAUGGUUCAAUAGUGAAAGACGGUUUUGCUGUCACUUAUAGAUGGAUCCGCGCCGCAUUAGCUAGUUGGUAAGGUAACGGCUUACCAAGGCAACGAUGCGUAGCCGACCUGAGAGGGUGAUCGGCCACACUGGAACUGAGACACGGUCAAGACUCCUACGGGAGGAAGCAGUAGGGAAUCUUCCGCAAUGGGCGAAAGCCUGACGGAGCAACGCCGAGUGAGUGAUGAAGGUCUUCGGAUCGUAAAACUCUGUUAUUAGGGAAGAAAAAAUGUGUAAGUAACUAUGCACGUCUUGACGGUACCUAAUCAGAAAGCAACGGCUAACUACGUG
rnacentral:rRNA from 1 species